UGGGGAAUUGUUCACAAUGGGCGCAAGCCUGAUGACGCAACGCCGCGUGGAGGAUGAAGGUCUUCGGAUUGUAAACUCCUGUUGCCCGGGACGAAUGACUCCAACCUAACACGUUGGAGUGUGACGGUACCGGGUGAGGAAGCCCCGGCUAACUCUGUGCCAGCAGCCGCGGUAAUACAGAGGGGGCAAGCGUUGUUCGGAAUUACUGGGCGUAAAGGGCGCGUAGGCGGCCCGCUAAGUCGAACGUGAAAUCCCCGAGCUCAACUCGGGAACUGCGUCCGAUACUGGCGGGCUUGAAUCCGGGAGAGGGAUGCGGAAUUCCAGGUGUAGCGGUGAAAUGCGUAGAUAUCUGGAGGAACACCGGUGGCGAAGGCGGCAUCCUGGACCGGCAUUGACGCUGAGGCGCGAAAGCUAGGGGGAGCAAACGGGAUUAGAUACCCCGGUAGUCCUAGCCCUAAACGAUGAAUGCUUGGUGUGGCGGGUAUCGAUCCCUGCCGUGCCGAAGCUAACG
rnacentral:rRNA from 1 species